AAACCCUCAUCCAUGCAAUGGCAACAUCGCAUGAAUGGAUUUGAGCGUUGCCGUAAUUGGCUCGCUCUGAAAUGCAUUAGCUUUGCGUCUAUUAGCGCGCUCGGCGUGGUGUGAUAAUUAUCUUCACCUAGCCUUAGGCCGCUUCCAACGUCGCUGCUUAUAGUGGUCUUUACAGACAACAACUUAAAG
rnacentral:misc_RNA from 1 species